rnacentral:tRNA from 1 species
GGGUCGGUGGCGUAGUGGCCGCGCAUCUGGCUUUUAACCAGACCAAGGACGAGUUCGAAUCUCUCCCGACCCACCA